CGGGUGCACUGAUCCGGCCGGGCCUUUCCCUCUGCGGAACCCCAUGGCCUUCACUGGCUGUGCGGGGGAAGCAGGACUUUUACUGUGAAAAAAUUAGAGUGCUCCAGGCAGGCCUAUGCUCGAAUACAUUAGCAUGGAAUAAUAGAAUAGGACGCGUGGUUCUAUUUUGUUGGUUUCUAGGACCGCCGUAAUGAUUAAUAGGGACAGUCGGGGGCAUCAGUAUUCAAUUGUCAGAGGUGAAAUUCUUGGAUCUAUUGAAGACUAACCACUGCGAAAGCAUUUGCCAAGGAUGUUUUCAUUGAUAAGGAACGAAAGUUAGGGGAUCGAAGACGAUCAGAUACCGUCGUAGUCUUAACUAUAAACUAUGCCGACUAGGGAUCGGACGAUGUUAUUCUUUGACGCGUUCGGCACCUUUCGAGAAAUCAAAGUGCUUGGGCUCCAGGGGGAGUAUGGUCGCAAGGCUGAAACUUAAAGAAAUUGACGGAAGGGCACCACCAGGGGUGGAACCUGCGGCUUAAUUUGACUCAACACGGGGAAACUCACCAGGUCCAGACACAGUGAGGAUUGACAGAUUGAGAGCUCUUUCUUGAUUCUGUGGGUGGUGGUGCAUGGCCGUUCUUAGUUGGUGGAGUGAUUUGUCUGCUUAAUUGCGAUAACGAACGAGACCUUAACCUGCUAAAUAGCCCGUACUGCUCUGGCAGUUCGCCGGCUUCUUAGAGGGACUAUCGG
rnacentral:rRNA from 1 species